rnacentral:lncRNA from 7 species
CUUCUGUUACAGAGUAAAGCUUCCUCAUCUAUUUGUCUUCCUCUGAAAUUCCUUUGUUACUGCCCUUUCUUCUAGAACUACAAACACAAAUGCCUACGUCUUUUUGUUCCCCAGGAUUCCAAUCUUGGAGAUUUAAUCAAAUAACAAACUCCAAGGCUCCAUUUCUUUUCUAUCUGUGCAUGAGAACACACUCUUCUGGAGAACUUAAACUUUAGCCUUUAUAGAAAUAUUUUGCUAUGGUUAUUUAAAAACUGGAAAGUACAGUUAUAUUGGACUUUCCCUAAUCAAACACAAACCAGAGAUAUAAAAUGAAAUGGAACAUCAAGGAGGUGGAAAUAUGGGCACAGAAACAAAGAGGACAUCAGCAGAGUUUCACUUCCUCUUCAUCUUUAUUUAAAAUGAGAAAUAAUUAUCCUCUCAUUUCUUUUAAACUGUUGAAAGCAUAAAUGUAUUGCGCUAUACUGAUAAACGGGAGAAUCUGAUCUGUCAAGCAGCUGUGCUUGCUCUCUUUUUCAGUUUGCAUGUUUGAGUAUCUGGCAAAAUGGGUUCAAGUUUCACUUCCACAUCUGUGAAGGAGGAUGUUAUAUCAGACAGCUUGUAAAGAAUAAUUUGAACAUAUCCUUUAAAACAGAAAAGCUGGGCUAAAAUUACUGUGUAUUUUGUACUGCAGAUGUGAGUAUAUCACUUCAGUCUUAUUUGAAUAUUCAGAUUCAUGUACAGUUUUCUGCUGAAUUUUGUACUGGACUUCACUCAAUCAUGAAUUCUCCUCUUGAGAGGAGUGGAUGUUUCAAAGUAAAUGUAAAUGAAAACAAUUUGGAAAAAAACUGUUAACAUUUUAUUUUGCUUGAGGGAAAAAUGUGGUUUUUUUUUUUUUGUGCUUGUGUGACAUUAACAUAGUUAAAUGCCACUAAUUGGGUGCUGGAGUUCUCAUAAUUAUGUUUUUUCAAUGUUAAUGUGAAAAAGAAAUACAUAAAUUCUAUUCUUCAAACACAUUUGAAAAAAAUAUACACUGAAAAGUACCUAUAGAAAAGUCAUUCAAUCAGAAACACUCCUAAAUGUCCCAAAUAUAUCAAUGGUUUUACAAUUAAAAGGUUUUAUACUUUCUUGUACAGAAUUAUUUUUUACUGAUUGAUUUAAACUUUUUUAGUAUUUUUGGUGUUUAUUGAAGGUUACUGUAAAUUUGAUCAAGUUUUCUUUAACAACUAAAAACAAAUGUUUUUCUGUAUGAUUUUUAAUACUCAAACUCCCCUUUCUUUGGGAUGGCACUUUCAUGCUGUAUGAAUUCACACAGGACAAUGUAUUCCACUCAAAUUCAGUGAAUUAUAGGGAAGAGAUGAAAGGUAAAACUGCAAGGGAAGUUUGUAUUUGAUUCUGAGGUUUGUGCAUAUUCCUAUUCCUCCAAAUUUAUAGAGUUAUAAGUAUAGUUUAUAAGUAUACUUGUAAAGUAAUAUUUUCGUAUUAGUGGAUAUAAUUCCAUACAAUCUUCAUUGUGUACUUCUGUAGAUAGUUGCUAUUAUACAAAAUGUUAAUUAUCUGUUCUCUAAACUGCUUCAAAGAUGGUGAGAGCAGUACCUUGUUCAAUCCCUGCUGGCACAAAUUCAAGAAAUUAGUGUAACAUUUUGCUUUCAAAAGAAAUAGCUGAAGUUCUGAUGUUGUGACUGAAAGAUGACACAAGGUGUAUAGUGGGAACAAAGGACUGACUAACAUCUUUUUAUGCAUGAGCUUCAUUGUUUGCCUUGCUCUGCGUAAUCCACUCAGUGUCAUUCUUGACUCCUCUCUAUUCACUUUUGCAGCUCAAUAAUCUUUCCAUUUUAUCAGCAAAAUCCAUCCUUUCACCCUUUAUAUCUAAAUGCUUGUGGGCAACUUUUCCUUUCUUUUGUUCUAUCUAAAAUUUGGAUACUUGAAACACCAUCUUCUCACUUGUCUAUCUUUUCAGCUGCUUCUUUUCCCAACAUCAUAUCUCUCAUCAAAUCAAAUCCUUUGCCACAUUAUCUAAUACAGACUCUUGUCUCAUGUAUAAAACUAAUAAAUUCUUUUUGUUCUUUUUUUCUUCCCAUUACUGGUUUGUUAUUUAUUGCUACUACUUUUCUUUCUCGUAACAUGCAGUCAUAGAUUUAUUUAUAAAUAUAUCUAUAUAUGUUUUGUAUAUUUACUGUGCAUUAUUUAUGUAUGUGUAUAUGUAUAUAUCAUUUACACGUUUUUAUAAUUGUAUUUAUAUAAUCUAAACAAAAUUAUGGCAUAGAAUGGCUCUAGAUGUUCUCUGACUAUACUAAAAGUAAAGGCAGCUUCAU